AUUCUGUCCUUCCAACUGCUUAUGGGAGAGAAUACUGUACGAUGAUUAUGAUAAACGUCGACGCCCAUGGCUUAGGAGGGUGGCUACCCUCAUACUGCGCAUGUAUGUUAGAAUUUAAAUUUGCAAACUUCCAUCUACUUAUUCUAACAGGCUCCGGUCGGCUAUGCGCUAAGAUGUCGAUGGCGCAAGGAACACCAGACAUCCUAUUCACCGUACAACGACAAACCCGAAGAGAGCAUUUGCAUUAUCCCGGUACAAGAUUGACAGGCGCAGUCAUAAACAAGAGACGAGUUCGCCAAUAAAAAUCCAGAAUCAUUUUUAGGUGCGAAACAGGAAUGUGCGAGACAGCAAAUGCAAUGCUAAUGGCCGCUCCAGGCGAGUAACAGCCUCGUCCUAGUCAGCCAAUCUGUGUACGACUGCAAACAUUCAUUUAUAGCCAGCGUUUCCUUUGCUAUUUGAAUAUCAUAAUGAGGUCAGGUUCUAUGGCAACAUUCAGAUGACGUCCAAUCAUCUCAUUCUGACCGAGGGCUGAGCAGCGGACAAGGUAGAGUAUGGCUAUUGCUUUCCAUUCUAUCAUAGAUUGUACGUACUGUAGCACGGCUUGUGGAGACAGUUUCCUAUCUAGUCUGUGUGUGUGGCGGACUGUCUCCGUCGGCGCGGGGGUUCGUCCGUAACGCCGCUUCGGAAUCUGACAGUCAGUCCGUCCCGUUUUGUCUCCCGUAUCCGCCGUGCCUUAUGGACUUUUAUCGGUGACCUUUGAACUCCGCUAUGACGUAGCAGUUCGUCGCACUCUAUAACGCUAUCUGUGUACCCAUGGAUUUAUCACUUGAUUCUACUUUUCUUCCGGAAUGUUUUCGGUCGCUUCCUACGGUCCGGAUUUUCAGUUUCCGAACUGCAGCUGCACUCGGUGGUGCCGUGCACCGACUGUUAGGCUUAGCGUCGGUGCGUCACGGUGCUAUUGGCCGCCGAGGGCGUCGGCAUUAACACGGGCACCGAUGCCAAACAGUGCACCACAUCUACUCUCGGUUGGCACCGACCACCACUCUCUGGACUAACUCAUCUUCGACCACCAACAUCCUUUAACUCGCCGUGUAACAAAAGCCGAAAACGAGUCAAAGACCCGAAUCUCCCGGAUAUAUUUUUUAAGAAUUUAAUCCGAUAAAGCGGCCACAUGGUUUCUUCUGUUUGUUUAUAUUUUUUUUAUAUAUACUAAACAACAGUCCCAUGUCCUUUUAAUAUAUAUUAUCAUUAUAACUUCUAUCAAAACAGCGAGGAAGUUUUGCCCAAUUGAAAAUCCUCCGCCGCCUUAUCUGACUUUAAAAAUAGUCUACAAAUAUAAUUUUACUCGUCG
rnacentral:lncRNA from 1 species